GUUGCUUUCCUCUCUUGCUUUGUUGAUUCAAUCCACACACUUAGGAUGGAUACCACACAGGUAAGAGUCACAAAGGCUCAAGCAAUUGGCAUGGAGAAGAAAUCACGAAGAAGAAGAAGGCAGAAGGACAUGGCAGUCUCUCUUUGGAGCUCACGGGUUCAAUGGACGGCUUCAACUAAUGGACCGGUUUCAAUUAGGAUGAAAACACCAAUAUAUAUAGUAAGUCAAGUGGCCAACAUAAGGUAAGUAAGGAUAUGGUAAGUAGGCUCGACUAGGGUUAACUUCCAAUGGAAAGAAUCA
rnacentral:lncRNA from 1 species